rnacentral:lncRNA from 1 species
UUUUUAUCACUUUAUAACUAUUAUAUUGUUGUAAUUGAGAAAAUGGGUUGUAAUAAUUGAACACUUGGACUGUGCUAAAUAAUUUUGAACCAUUUAGAUCAUGUAUUUGUACUAUCUCGCAUUUCAGUAGGAUAAAUCGUAGUACUAAUAAUGGUAGAUUGUUCAAAUCCUUACGUUUACUUUAAUAGUGAAGAUAUUAUGUGUAUACAUGUUUGGGUUCGCACUGACAGGAUUAAUGGUUGAGAUACAGAGGUUCACCCAGAAUCUUGCCCUGUUAGACGUUUGGCAUGCUAAAAUGAUAAGAUACAUGCAUUAAAAAAAUAAUUUAGAAGAGCUGAAAAUUCGUGAUUUAGGGAAUGCUACUUUUUUUCAUCCUUGAUUAACCGUUUGAUUUACAUUUCUAGGCUCAAUGAGAAAGCCCAAAAAAAAUCAGGCGUAGUUAAGAGGCGCAGAAAAGUACACUUCUUGGGUUCGCUUCUGCCAAAAAAGAGCCUAGUUUCAAAAAUUAGCAACUGAAGCGGUCUGGAAUUGACCUGCUUCAAUAUAAUGAUGCAAUGUUUUUAGUAAUAGACUAUUCAGCUUAGGCAUUUCCCUUAUUAUAUAGACAAAGGAAAAAAGUAGUAGCUCGCUUUAGGAAUGGCGUUUGUUUAAAAUAAAAACGAGUGUGUCAUGCCAAACAGAAUCUAAAAUUGUGUGGCCCUCGUGAAAUGUCUAUAUUAAAAUUCUUAGAGAUUCGGAUACG